AGUAGCGUGGCUUAGUGGAAAGAGCCCAGGUUUGGGAGUCAGAGAUUUUGGGUUCGAAUCCCAGCUCUGCCA
rnacentral:tRNA from 1 species